CCCAUUGUAAAAUCUUUAUAUAUUUCGCAACCACAGACUUUUGAAUAUUUGUUUUAUUAUAUUAUAAAGUAUAAGGUGUUGAAUAUCAUAUUGUAUCCAUACACCCUUUCAGGCAGAUCUCUAAUGAGAUGUAGACAUUUUCUGUGAAAAAUGCAAUUCUGUUAAUAAAUAUAAAAAAAUGAAUAUAUGGUAUGAUUACCAAUGAGACAAUUCUCCACAAGAGACCAAGUAGACAAUAGACAAUAUGAUACAGAAAUUAACAACUAUAUGUCUUUUAUCAAAGUACCUUUUUUAUGUGAAUUAGUUAUACUUUGACAACAUUUCCACAAAAGGGAAGAUAACUCAGGGUGGGGGCAGAGGGGGGGGUUAUAUAUAUGUUAUUUAGUUUUUAAAUUGUUUAAUAAUAUGGAAGACAAUAUGAAUAAGAACAAGAUUCAUCUUUUGGUAUAUAUGGAUUAUCAAUAUUAACUUGACUCAUUGUUUUUACAAGAAG
rnacentral:lncRNA from 1 species